GGAGUUUGGGCCGUGUCUCAGUCCCAAUGUGGCCGUUCACCCUCUCAGGCCGGCUACUGAUCGUCGCCUUGGUGAGCCGUUACCUCUCCAACUAGCUAAUCAGACGCGGGUCCAUCAUACACCGAUAUUUCUUUCCACCCUGUGAGAUGCCUCACUGUGUGCAUAUGCGGUAUUAGCAGUCGUUUCCAACUGUUGUCCCCCUGUGUAUGGCAGGUUACCCACGCGUUACUCACCCGUCCGCCACUAGGUACAAACAAGAAUCGCUUUGUGCAAGCACUCCACUUUUCAGCGUCUGUACCCCGUUCGACUUGCAUGUGUUAAGCACGCCGCCAGCGUUCAUCUGAGCCAGGAUACAAACUCU
rnacentral:rRNA from 1 species